UGGCGACCGGCGCACGGGUGAGUAACGCGUAUGCAACUUACCUAUCAGAGGGGGAUAGCCCGGCGAAAGUCGGAUUAAUACCCCAUAAAACAGGGGUCCCGCAUGGGAAUAUUUGCUAAAGAUUCAUCGCUGAUAGAUAGGCAUGCGUUCCAUUAGGCAGUUGGCGGGGUAACGGCCCACCAAACCGACGAUGGAUAGGGGUUCUGAGAGGAAGGUCCCCCACAUUGGUACUGAGACACGGACCAA
rnacentral:rRNA from 1 species